rnacentral:rRNA from 1 species
AACGCUGGCGGCGUGCUUAACACAUGCAAGUCGAACGAGAAUCUGCGGAAAGAGGAUUCGUCCAAUUGAAGCAGAGGACAGUGGCGGACGGGUGAGUAACGCGUGAGGAACCUGCCUUUCAGAGGGGGACAACAGUUGGAAACGACUGCUAAUACCGCAUGACACAUCGGAGUCGCAUGGCUCUGAUGUCAAAGAUUUAUCGCUGAAAGAUGGCCUCGCGUCUGAUUAGCUAGUUGGUGAGGUAACGGCCCACCAAGGCGACGAUCAGUAGCCGGACUGAGAGGUUGAACGGCCACAUUGGGACUGAGAUACGGCCCAGACUCCUACGGGAGGCAGCAGUGGGGAAUAUUGGGCAAUGGGCGCAAGCCUGACCCAGCAACGCCGCGUGAAGGAAGAAGGCUUUCGGGUUGUAAACUUCUUUUGUCAGGGACGAGUAGAAGACGGUACCUGACGAAUAAGCCACGGCUAACUACGUG